GUUAACGGCACUGGAUGAGUCGCCAAUAAUUCUCGAAGCACAGGUUUGAAGUCUUCCUGAGUGAGGUAUUUGAGAUCCGGUUGCUUUAGAAUUUUAAACAUUUGAGUCGCCNNNNNNNNNUAUCCAUCAUCAGCAUAUUACCAUUUAGCCAAUAAUGAACAAAGGCAUCCCUUGUCACAAAACCAGUGCCGUUAACAUCAAUCCUUCUGAAAAGAACUGUGGAGAAGAAUGAGGGCAGCUUGCAAAUUUCCUUGGUGACAGAUUUGAAUUCAUGUAAUUGUAGCCCAUCUGAGCGGCCAUAGAAAAAGUGAUUGAUCCUUAACAAACAUUGUUCCUUUAG
rnacentral:misc_RNA from 1 species